rnacentral:rRNA from 1 species
CCUACGGGAGGCAGCAGUGAGGAAUAUUGCGCAAUGGGGGCAACCCUGACGCAGCAACGCCGCGUGGGUGAUGAAGGCCUUCGGGUCGUAAAACCCUUUUCUGAGGGACGAGCAAGGACGGUACCUCAGGAAUAAGUCCCGGCUAACUACGUGCCAGCAGCCGCGGUAAAACGUAGGGGGCAAGCGUUAUCCGGAUUUACUGGGCGUAAAGCGCGUGCAGGCGGCUUGGUAGGUUGGACGUGAAAGCUCCUGGCUCAACUGGGAGAGGCCGUUCAAUACCGCCAGGCUUGAGGGUGGAAGAGGAGAGCGGAAUUCCCGGUGUAGUGGCGGAAUGCGUAGAUAUCGGGAGGAACACCUGUGGCGAAGGCGGCUCUCUGGUCCAUAUCUGACGCUAAGACGCGAAAGCGUGGGGAGCGAACGGGAUUAGAUACCCCGGUAGUCCACGCUGUAAACGAUGGAUGCUAGGUGUGGGUGGUAUUGACCCCAUCCGUGCCGUAGCUAACGCGUUAAGCAUCCCGCCUGGGGACUACGGCCGCAAGGUUAAAACUCAAAGGAAUUGACGG